UAAAUUACUGCAGUGUGAUAAUAUAUAAGCCUUGACUUUGAUGUUGUCCAUUAACUGAAAUUUAUUUAGUUUAUUAAAGACCUUAACUGCAGUCAAAUCUAUAAAUUAAUUAUUUUGGUGGCGUUACUCUUUUAGUUAUUUAAACAAAAAAAUGAAUUUCCUAAAAGUGUCUGUGUCUAUUUUUAUUGUUUUGAUUAUUGCAAUGAUGUCCACAGCAUUUGAUUGUCCUAGACAACAAAAAUCUAAUUCGUAUGCAGUUUAUUAUCCUUCCUCAACAAGUUGUUCACAAUUUUACAAGUGCUCUAAUGGAAACGCCUUUUUGUUCAAUUGUCCUAUUCCUUUGCACUUUAAUGCAAGGAAACAGGUUUGCGACUUCCGGCAAUCAGCUCGAUGCACAAUAGCAGUUUCAACCCCAGGUCCAGCUCAAAUUCCAAUUUAAGAUCUUUCCAACGAUCUUUACUGUUUUCAAAAUAAUUUUUUGUUUAAAUGAAUUAAAUACAAAAUAUUUCUGAACUGCA